AAUGCGUCCUUCAGUUGUUUGCCAACCGCCAAUAAAACUCAGGAAGACGACGAAGAAGAACCGCCUCGUUAAGGUAACACAGAACAGGUGUGCUUAAUCAAGGGCAUACAACGACUACAGUAUAACGCAAGCUGGAGUGCAAUGUUUAGAACAGUUCUGAGGAGCUGCCUAAAUAAGCCAUCUUGCCGUUUUUGAAGCCACCGGAAAGCCACCAGUCGCAGUCGCGAGCACCUUUUUGAAGAGGCCGAGGACGGCAAGUCAGCAGGAGGAAGAUGAAGAGGAGGAGGCUUCACGUCGAAGAUGCCACCGCUCAUAUGUCGCAAGCCUGUGGGGUGCAGAGCUGUAAGUAUGAGCAGCAUCUUGAUGAGAAAAUGCAGACUGACGCAACACAUGCUUCAACACCAACAAAAGUACGCACCGAACACUGGACAAAAGUCGCAGUUCACUGAGGAGUGAAAUUUCGAAGUCGUGGUGCUGCGUACCGGCU